rnacentral:rRNA from 1 species
AUUGAACGCUGGCGGCAGGCCUAACACAUGCAAGUCGAGCGGAUGAAGGGAGCUUGCUCCUGGAUUCAGCGGCGGACGGGUGAGUAAUGCCUAGGAAUCUGCCUGGUAGUGGGGGAUAACGUCCGGAAACGGGCGCUAAUACCGCAUACGUCCUGAGGGAGAAAGUGGGGGAUCUUCGGACCUCACGCUAUCAGAUGAGCCUAGGUCGGAUUAGCUAGUUGGUGGGGUAAAGGCCUACCAAGGCGACGAUCCGUAACUGGUCUGAGAGGAUGAUCAGUCACACUGGAACUGAGACACGGUACAGACUCCUGCGGGAGGCCGCAGUGGGGAAUAUUGGGCGAUGGGGGAGAGCCUGAUCCAGGCAUGGCGCGUGUAUGGAGAAGGUCUUAGGAUUGUAAAGCACUGUAAGUUGGGAGGAAGGGCAGUAAGUUAAUACCUUGCUAUUUUGACGUUACCAACAGAAUAAGCACCGGCUAACUUCGUG